UCUCUGGUGGCUCAGAUGGUAAAGCAUCUGCCUGCAAUGCAGGAGAUCUGGGUUCAAUGCCCGGGUUGGGAA
rnacentral:tRNA from 1 species